UGGGGAAUAUUGCACAAUGGGCGCAACCGGGACGCACCAACGCCGUUCGUGCGAAGACAGCGUUCUUUACAACCACAUGUCCUUCUUGGGAAGAAGGGCGUGGGAGCAUCAGGCAGAAAAAGCACCGCAAUAUUCCCCACCGGCACCUCCCGUAGGAAUCUCUAGAGGAUCCCCGGGUACCGAGCUCGAAUCGUAAU
rnacentral:rRNA from 1 species